UACGUAGGGUGCAAGCGUUAGUCGGAAUUACUGGGCGUAAAGCGUGCGCAGGCGGUUUUGUAAGUCAGAUGUGAAAUCCCCGGGCUUAACCUGGGAACUGCGUUUGAAACUACAAGGCUAGAGUGUGACAGAGGGGGGUGGAAUUCCACGUGUAGCAGUGAAAUGCGUAGAGAUGUGGAGGAACACCGAUGGCGAAGGCAGCCCCCUGGGUUAACACUGACGCUCAGGCACGAAAGCGUGGGGAGCAAACAGG
rnacentral:rRNA from 1 species